rnacentral:rRNA from 1 species
UAAGACGAGGGAUCCUAGCGUUGUUCGGAAUCAUUGGGCGUAAAGCGGAUGUAGGUGGCUUUGUAAGUCAGGUGUGAAAGCCCCGGGCUCAACCCGGGAAGUGCAUUUGAUACUGCGAAGCUUGAGUGCUGGAGAGGCUACUAGAAUACCUGGUGUAGUGGUGAAAUACGUAGAUAUCAGGUGGAAUACCGGAGGCGAAGGCGGGUAGCCAGCCAGACACUGACACUCAGAUCCGAAAGUGUGGGGAUCAAACAGG